AUGCUCAAAGCCAGGUACUAUCCUGAUGGAAACAUAGAGGAUACUGUCUUCUCCGGCAAUGCAUCUUCUUCGUGGCAAGCAAUCAGCCAUGGCCUUGAUCUGUUAAAAAAGGGCUUAAUCUGGAGAGUGGGGAACGGCAGAAGUAUUCGUGUGUGGCACGAUAAUUGGAUCCCAAGACCCUUCUCCUAUAAACCCAUCACCUUACAAGGAAGAUGCAGAAUCCGCUUCGUGUCUGAUCUACUUAAUGAUAAUGGCUCAUGGAAUGUUAGGCUGUUGCAGGAGUAUUUCCUCCCGGUUGAUGUAAAUGAGAUACUGAAAAUAAGGGCGUCUCCUAGACAUGAGGACGACACCUUGGCUUGGGGGCCGGGCAAGUUUGGCGUUUUUUCGGUCAAGAGUGCAUACCAAUUGGGUUUUGAAGAGGCUCACAGGAGUUCGGCAACGGGCUCUAGUUCGCGACCUAAUGGCCGGCGCUCUUGUUGGAAGCUCAUAUGGUCUUCGGAUGUUCCUCCUACGGUCCAGAAUUUUGCGUGGCGGGUUGCUACAAACUCACUGCCGACAUGGUGCAACAAGUACAGGCGUGGACUUGAAACAAGUAACCUUUGUCCGGUAUGUGCUAGUGAACCAGAGGACUGCUACCAUGCUCUCUGUCGCUGCUCCUUUACGAGGAUCUUAUGA
rnacentral:rRNA from 1 species